GGGGCAAGGGGGGGGGGCCUAUACAUGGCAAGUCGAACGCUUUGUGGUUCAACUGAUUUGAAGAGCUUGCUCAGAUAUGACGAUGGACAUUGCAAAGAGUGGCGAACGGGUGAGUAACACGUGGGAAACCUACCUCUUAGCAGGGGAUAACAUUUGGAAACAGAUGCUAAUACCGUAUAACAAUGACAACCGCAUGGUUGUUAUUUAAAAGAUGGUUCUGCUAUCACUAAGAGAUGGUCCCGCGGUGCAUUAGCUAGUUGGUAAGGUAAUGGCUUACCAAGGCGAUGAUGCAUAGCCGAGUUGAGAGACUGAUCGGCCACAAUGGGACUGAGACACGGCCCAUACUCCUACGGGAGGCAGCAGUAGGGAAUCUUCCACAAUGGGCGAAAGCCUGAUGGAGCAACGCCGCGUGUGUGAUGAAGGGUUUCGGCUCGUAAAACACUGUUGUAAGAGAAGAAUGACAUUGAGAGUAACUGUUCAAUGUGUGACGGUAUCUUACCAGAAAGGAACGGCUAAAUACGUGCCAGCAGCCGCGGUAAUACGUAUGUUCCAAGCGUUAUCCGGAUUUAUUGGGCGUAAAGCGAGCGCAGACGGUUAUUUAAGUCUGAAGUGAAAGCCCUCAGCUCAACUGAGGAAUUGCUUUGGAAACUGGAUGACUUGAGUGCAGUAGAGGAAAGUGGAACUCCAUGUGUAGCGGUGAAAUGCGUAGAUAUAUGGAAGAACACCAGUGGCGAAGGCGGCUUUCUGGACUGUAACUGACGUUGAGGCUCGAAAGUGUGGGUAGCAAACAGGAUUAGAUACCCUGGUAGUCCACACCGUAAACGAUGAGUGCUAGGUGUUUGAGGGUUUCCGCCCUUAAGUGCCGCAGCUAACGCAUUAAGCACUCCGCCUGGGGAGUACGACCGCAAGGUUGAAACUCAAAGGAAUUGACGGGGACCCGCACAAGCGGUGGAGCAUGUGGUUUAAUUCGAAGCAACGCGAAGAACCUUACCAGGUCUUGACAUCCCUUGACAACUCCAGAGAUGGAGCGUUCCCUUCGGGGACAAGGUGACAGGUGGUGCAUGGUUGUCGUCAGCUCGUGUCGUGAGAUGUUGGGUUAAGUCCCGCAACGAGCGCAACCCUUAUUACUAGUUGCCAGCAUUCAGUUGGGCACUCUAGUGAGACUGCCGGUGACAAACCGGAGGAAGGUGGGGAUGACGUCAAAUCAUCAUGCCCCUUAUGACCUGGGCUACACACGUGCUACAAUGGCGUAUACAACGAGUUGCCAACCCGCGAGGGUGAGCUAAUCUCUUAAAGUACGUCUCAGUUCGGAUUGUAGGCUGCAACUCGCCUACAUGAAGUCGGAAUCGCUAGUAAUCGCGGAUCAGCACGCCGCGGUGAAUACGUUCCCGGGUCUUGUACACACCGCCCGUCACACCAUGAGAGUUUGUAACACCCAAAGCCGGUGGGGUAACCUUCGGGAGCCAGCCGUCUAAGGGGAACCAAACGG
rnacentral:rRNA from 1 species